UGAGGAGGAAGAGCGGCGGCAGCGGCAAAGACGAAAGCGACGGAGGAGAGCAGCAGACAAAGUCGUUGGCGACGGCGAUGGCAGCAGAGGCAGAGGAAAAGGCGAACGCAUUGAACUUGUUAGCGAUCGGCUUUGUUGUCAGUUAUAAACUAAACGCAAGACGAAACGGUUCGUCAAUUGAGCUGUCGCUAAGCAAGUGCAAGAGCUCUGUAAACAACAGUUGUUGCAUCUUUGUUUUGAAUUUUAUUUUAUUUUAUUUUUUUUUUUUUGGUUUUCUGUUGUUGUUUUCUUUCGUUUCUUGUGCGUUUAUUAGGUCUGUUCUAAGUCAAAAGCAUGACAAUUUAUGGCCUGUUGGUGCAAAUCAUAAUUAUCUGCAAUUAGCAUACAGCAAAUGCAACGGCAACUGCAACGGUAACUGCCACUGUAACUGUAACUGAAGCAAACGCAACGCAACGAAACGUAACGUAAAGCAACGUAGCUUUCAUAGAAUGGCGCCGCCCGCUGAGCAGCCGGAGGAUGAUUUUGCCACCAAGAUACCUUCAAUAAUUGGAUUCUUGAACUUGGACUAAUUGGCAAUUGAAGUUUUGGUUUCUUCUCUCUCUUAACUUUUUUUUUUUUUUUUUUUGCCACCAAGGACGUGCCUCAACGCAAAACGAAUCAAUUAAUUAAGGCUGAUUAUGGGCGCAGUAUACACACACACACACACACACACACACUGAUACUUUUUUGUAGAAUAAAUGUAAUACAUUAAUUAAA